CCUACGGGAGGCAGCAGUGGGGAAUAUUGGGCAAUGGGCGAAAGCCUGACCCAGCGACGCCGCGUGGGGGAAGAAGGCCUUCGGAUUGUAAAGUUCUGUUAAUGGGAAAGAAAGUGUAUAUUAGGAAAUGAGUAUGCAUUGACGGUACCUGUUGAGGAAGCCCCGGCUAACUACGUGCCAGCAGCCGCGGUAAUACGUAGGGGGCAAGCGUUAUCCGGAAUUAUUGGGCGUAAAGCGUGCGUAGGCGGAAUGUUAAGUCAUUUGUAAAAGAUCUCAGCCCAACUGAGUAAGGCGAAUGAAACUGGCAAUCUUGAAUACGGUAGAGGUAAGUGGAAUUCCAUGUGUAGCGGUGGAAUGCGUAGAUAUAUGGAGGAACACCGAUGGCGAAGGCAGCUUACUGGGCCGGAAUUGACGCUGAGGCACGAAAGCGUGGGGAGCGAACG
rnacentral:rRNA from 1 species